rnacentral:rRNA from 1 species
UACGGAGGGUGCGAGCGUUAAUCGGAAUUACUGGGCGUAAAGCGUGCGUAGACGGUUAUUUAAGUCGGGUGUGAAAGCCCCGGGCUCAACCUGGGAAUUGCAUUCGAGACUGAAUAGCUAGGGUACGGUAGAGGGAAGCGGAAUUUCCGGUGUAGCGGUGAAAUGCGUAGAUAUCGGAAGGAACAUCAGUGGCGAAAGCGGCUUCCUGGACCAGUACCGACGUUCAGGCACGAAAGCGUGGGGAGCAAACAGG